rnacentral:rRNA from 1 species
AUUGAACGCUGGCGGCAGGCUUAACACAUGCAAGUCGAGCGAGCGGCGGACGGGUGAGUAAUGUCUGGGAAACUGCCUGAUGGAGGGGGAUAACUACUGGAAAAGGUAGCUAAUACCGCAUACCAUCAGAUGUGCCCAGAUGGGAUUAGCUAGUAGGUGGGGUAAUGGCUAACCUAGGCGACGAUCACUAGCGGGUCUGAGGUGAUGACCAGCCACACUGGAACUGAGACACGGCCCAGACGCCUACGGGAGGCAGCAGUGGGGAAUAUUGCACAAUGGGCUCAAGCCUGAUGCAGCCAUGCCGCGUGUGUGAAGAAGGCCUUCGGGUUGGAAAGCACUUUCAGCGAGGAGGCGUUACUCGCAGAAGAAGCACCGUCUAACUCCGUGCCAGCCGCCGCGGUAAUUC